GACAGAGGGUGCAAACGUUGCUCGGAAUCACUGGGCGUAAAGGGCGUGUAGGCGGGAAGGAAAGUCAGAUGUGAAAUCCCCAGGCUCAACCUGGGAACUGCAUUUGAAACUCCCUUUCUUGAGUACCGGAGAGGAAAGUGGAAUUCCUGGUGUAGAGGUGAAAUUCGUAGAUAUCAGGAGGAACACCAGUGGCGAAGGCGGCUUUCUGGACGGUAACUGACGCUGAGACGCGAAAGCGUGGGGAGCAAACAGG
rnacentral:rRNA from 2 species